rnacentral:rRNA from 1 species
UACGGAGGGUGCAAGCGUUAUCCGGAUUCACUGGGUUUAAAGGGUGCGUAGGUGGGUCUGUAAGUCAGUGGUGAAAUCUCCGGGCUUAACCCGGAAACUGCCAUUGAUACUAUAGAUCUUGAAUAUCCUGGAGGUGAGCGGAAUAUGUCAUGUAGCGGUGAAAUGCUUAGAUAUGACAUAGAACACCAAUUGCGAAGGCAGCUCACUACGGGAUUAUUGACACUGAGGCACGAAAGCGUGGGGAUCAAACAGG